CUAUAUUUUGUUAAUAAAAUUCACUGAGUGGAACAUAACCUGACUAGAAGAGACUAGGAAGAGAGGUAACAAGAAGGAAACAAGAGAAGCUUGUCGAAAUGACAUGAACAAAAUUACACGAUUAUUGGUUACAAUCCAACAAUUGUUGUUAGAUGUCCAUCCCCAUUCUUCACAAGAGAAUGCAAUAAAUUUCAAUUUACCGAUUGGAACGCAUGAAGCACUAGAGGAAUUUAAUAAAUUGUUAACACAAGACUCGGUAUCUUUAUUGCAAUAUGUAAGUACUUUUUAUCAAUUACACAUAAAAAACUAAAAUAUAUAUACACUAGUUACAUUUAAAUAAUCUUUUACAGAAACAAUUAAUUAGAACUACAGGAGGAAAACAUCCGGAACAACAUGUAAGAAAUGCAUUAAAACUUACUCUAACUGAUCAACUAGCUUACAAACUCUCAUGGACAGGACAAAAAAUACCAUACAAAUGAGAGGCAUGAAAUUUGUUGAUGUCAUUAUCGAAGUCAUUAUCAGUGGUAGUGGAAACAGUAUUUCUUCCCAUUCUAUCCAAACAGUUAUUAAAAUCUGGCUACAGCAUGCUGGAGAUCGGAUCAAUCAAAAUACCAAACGACAUGAAUUGAGGAAAUGAAAUGUUUAGAAAAAUAGUGGAGAAAAAGUAGCGGAUCUACUUAGUCGCUCAGUGAGCGAUUGUAUUACUGAAUGCAUCCAUUAAUUUUUUUAAUAUUUGAUUUUGACUAAUAUUUGAUUUUGUUUAUCGGUAAAUUUUUAAAAAAUGUUUAAAAGUGAUAUUGAAAUUUUCUUUAUAUUAUUGUCAUGAUUUUAUUUUUCACGUGUGUGCAAUAUAGCAAGUAUUCAAAUGAAAUUAAAAGUUUAAUUAAAAUUUUAAUAUAA